CUCAUGGGGGGGAGGGGGGCAUCUAAGCACAGGAAAAGAAAUAAGGAAUGAUGAGUUAAUAAAAGAUCUGCAUUAGAAGCGCAGGGGUCAGAGUGGUGCUGGGCUCUCUGCUGCUGCAGCUCGCCUUCCCCAUCUGGAGGAGAGAGAGUCCUGGAGACCGCUGACAGAAGGGGAGGAAUCGGAAGCAGAGAGGAGACCCAUCAGCAGCCCCCACACUUGCCCUGGACAUAACAUAAAGGCAUGAAGAGAAAAACGGGAUUUAAAGGAAAAUCUGGACAGCUGCUGCAGAACUUCUUGGGAAGCAUCAUGAAAGCGUUUGAGCGUUCUAUCUCCCAUGUCUUCAUACCAAUGUAUUAUGUUGUAGUCCCUAGAGACCCCCUGCUCACCCCAAAGGGUGAUUGGAGCCAGCGCUGUGGGUGCAGGAGAGCCCUCAAUAUCGCCUGCAGUUAUGUCUGGGCAUAGCAAUUCUGAGCCAAAUGGUGAAUGUAAUGUGAGCACCUCCACCCCAAUUAUUUUAUGUACCGUAGCUAUCAGACUCCCCCUGUAGCUAUAAGUGUACUACUAGUAGUAUGCACAACGGUGACUAAUCCCUGCCCCAACUUCUACAACUUGCAAGUUUAAUUGACGUGUGUUGGUAAAUGCCCAGGGGGUUGGGAAGGGAUGGGUGGGGGUAGUGGUUGCUCUGACAGCUCUCCCAAGACAUUUCUGCGUGCAGAAGUAGAUGUACUAAGAACCUGGCACAGUCCAUGCAUCUUUAGAAGAAAAAAAAAUGUUAGUAACUCGGAAGUUUUCUUGAAAUGUUACAAAAAGUUAGACUAGUAGAGGAUCUCCUGCUAUGCACUUCCCUUGCUGUUCUUGCAGAGUGUGUAGGAGGGCCCUGUAAUUUUAGCUGUGUAAUAAAACGAAGUGUGUCAUCUUA